AGGCGGCUUUUUAAGUCGGAUGUGAAAUCCCUGAGCUUAACUUAGGAAUUGCAUUCGAUACUGGGAAGCUAGAGUAUGGGAGAGGAUGGUAGAAUUCCAGGUGUAGCGGUGAAAUGCGUAGAGAUCUGGAGGAAUACCGAUGGCGAAGGCAGCCAUCUGGCCUAAUACUGACGCUGAGGUACGAAAGCAUGGGGAGCAAACAGGAUUAGGUACCCUGGUAGUCCAUGCCGUAAACGAUGUCUACUAGCCGUUGGGGCCUUUGAGGCUUUAGUGGCGCAGCUAACGCGAUAAGUGGACCGCCUGGGGAGUACGGUCGCAAGACUAAAACUCAAAUGAAUUGACGGGGGCCCGCACAAGCGGUGGAGCAUGUGGUUUAAUUCGAUGCAACGCGAAGAACCUUACCUGGUCUUGGCAUAGUAAGAACUUUCCAGAGAUGGAUUGGUGCCUUCGGGAACUUACAUACAGGUGCUGCAUGGCUGUCGUCAGCUCGUGUCGUGAGAUGUUGGGUUAAGUCCCGCAACGAGCGCAACCCUUUUCCUUAUUUGCCAGCGGGUUAAGCCGGGAACUUUAAGGAUACUGCCAGUGACAAACUGGAGGAAGGCGGGGACGACGUCAAGUCAUCAUGGCCCUUACGACCAGGGCUACACACGUGCUACAAUGGUCGGUACAAAGGGUUGCUACCUAGCGAUAGGAUGCUAAUCUCAAAAAGCCGAUCGUAGUCCGGAUUGGAGUCUGCAACUCGACUCCAUGAAGUCGGAAUCGCUAGUAAUCGCGGAUCAGAAUGCCGCGGUGAAUACGUUCCCGGGCCUUGCACUCACCGCCCGUC
rnacentral:rRNA from 1 species